CAACUCAAAUUUUACUAUAAUUCUUAUCAGAUUAAAAAGAAUAAGGAAGUCCCUCAGAUAUUUUGAGCUAAAUGAAACUAUGACUUAGUUUUGCUAUAAAUAUGGCCUUUACCUUUCAACAUUCUCACACCAAUAAACAACAACCGAUCCAAAGAUGUUGCCAGAAGGUCCUAUUAGCCACAGCAAGAUAGAGUUUCUUGAGGAUGGUCAGUGUAAGGCAAUUUGAGAGCUGAAAGGUGAGACUCUGGUUUACACCGGCCUUGUUCGCACUACAAAUGAGGUCGAUGGCUUGCUUGUGAGCACGAAGGUGGAGUACCUUACUUUCGAGUUGGUGGGUCUACCAAUGGAGAGGAUUUGGAGAGCUUUACAUCCAGAUGUGAUCAAUGAAGCUUCUACCUCUCGAGUACCCAGGAAUGGUGAUUAACUCGUUUGUAUGAUGACUUAUUUUAAGAGUAUUAUUUUCAGUUGGACUGUGUGUAUUUUAUACUCUUGAAACUCUUCUCUCUUUGAGUAGCCAUGUUUGACUAAAGUCACUUUUGGAUAUCAUGAGAUCUUAACUUCUAUGGAUCACUGUAAAAUAUUUAACUAUGUUGAUCACAGUGUUUGUAAUAAGCCUACGAGUUUGACUACUAUGUGACAUGUAUUAAGUUGAUGCAUAUUAUGUAUUUUGAAGAUUAA